rnacentral:rRNA from 1 species
GACGAACGCUGGCGGCGCGCCUAACACAUGCAAGUCGAACGAGGUCUUUUAGAAAAGCUUGCUUUUCUGGCUGACCUAGUGGCGGACGGGUGAGUAACACGUGAGCAACCUGCCCUGGAGUGGGGGACAACACCUGGAAACGGGUGCUAAUACCGCAUAAUAUCUUUGGAUGGCAUCAUUCGGAGAUCAAAGGAGAAAUCCGCUUUGGGAUGGGCUCGCGCCCGAUUAGAUAGUUGGUGGGGUAAUGGCCCACCAAGUCUGCGAUCGGUAGCCGGACUGAGAGGUUGAUCGGCCACACUUGACUGAGACACGGCCCAGACUCCUACGGGAGGCAGCAGUGGGGAAUAUUGCACAAUGGGGGAAACCCUGAUGCAGCGACGCCGCGUGAAGGAAGAAGUAUUUCGGUAUGUAAACUUCUAUCAGCAGGGAAGAAAAUGACGGUACCUGACUAAGAAGCCCCGGCUAAUUACGUGCCAGCAGCCGCUGUAAAAC